rnacentral:rRNA from 1 species
UUAACGCUGGCGGCGUGCCUAACACAUGCAAGUCGAGCGAGGAGUACCAGAAUAUCGGGCUCCUAGCGGCAGACGGGUGAGUAACACGUAAACAAUCUGCCCUCGAAUGGAAGACGACUUGACGAAAGUCGAGCUAAUACUCCAUACAAUCCUCUUGAGGCAUCUCAAGGGGAUGAAAGGCCCGCAAGGGUUGUUCGAGGAGGAGUUUGCGGCCUAUCAGCUAGUUGGCGGUGUAAUAGACCACCAAGGCUAUGACGGGUAGCCGAUCUAAAAGGAUGACCGGCCACAAGGGCACUGAGACACGGGCCCUACUCCUACGGGAGGCAGCAGUGGGGAAUUUUGGACAAUGGACGAAAGUCUGAUCCAGCGACGCCGCGUGAAGGACGAAGGUUUUCGGAUCGUAAACUUCUUUUACAGGGGACGAAAGCUCGCAAGAGUUUGACGGUACUCUGUGAAUAAGCCACGGCUAACUACGUGCCAGCAGCCGCGGUAAUACGUAGGUGGCGAGCGUUACUCGGAAUUACUAGGCGUAAAGCGAGUGUAGGCGGGAGCUUAAGUCAGCUGUUAAAUCUCAUGGCUCAACCAUGAACAGCCGGCUGAUACUGGGCUUCUUGAAUUCGGUAGAGGAAACUGGAAUUCCAGGUGUAGCGGUGAAAUGCGUAGAUAUCUGGAAGAACGCCAAAGGCGAAGGCAGGUUUCUGGGCCGCAAUUGACGCUGAGACUCGAAAGCUAGGGGAGCAAACAGGAUUAGAUACCCUGGUAGUCCUAGCCGUAAACGAUGUAGACCAGGUGUGGGAGGUAUCGACCCCUUCCGUGCCGACGCUAACGCAUUAGUC